rfam:Crassostrea gigas strain 05x7-T-G4-1.051#20 contig23220, whole genome shotgun sequence.
CGCCAGAUAGCUCAGUUGGUAGAGCACCUGACUAGGGAUUCAGGGGGCCCGGGUUCGAAUCCCGGUCUGGUCC